rnacentral:lncRNA from 1 species
AGUGGUCCUGCUUGAGAGGGGUUAGGACAUUUGGCCUUGUUGGACUAGGUGUGGCCUUGUUGGAGGAAGUGUGUCACUGGGGGUGGGCUUUGAGGUUACAGAAGCUCAAGCCAGGCCCAUUUUCUCCCUUUUCCUGCUGCCUGUGGAUCCGGGCACAGAACUCUCAGCCCCUGCAGCACUAUGUCUGUCUGCCUGUGUACCUCCAUGCUUCCGGCCAUGCUGAUAAUGAACUAAACCUUGGAAACUCUAAGCAAUUCACAGCAAGAUGAAUGAAGAGUGCAUCAAACAGAUGGAGCAAGCAACUGUGAAAAGCCAACUUGAAGCAGCUUUCAGCUCAGUGACUGAGAAACUGCCAUUUCUCUCCAGAGACAUUCUGCAGAGAGAGGAACAAUGGGUGAGAUUACUUCCUGCUGGCAUCAUGAUGGGGCAGAGCAGACCAAUGUGCGGAAAUGAAGAGGAUAGCUGUGGUUCUGGUGUUUGCUAGACAUCCUUUCUGUAGUUAAAAUGAGACAUUUGGUCAGUCUGCACAGAAGCCAUAGGACUUGCAUGCUGAGAACACAAGACAUCAUUCCCUGGACAGUUUUCCAGGCUAGAACAAUGGACAGUUUUAAUAAAGAAUUCAGACUUUUUGGGCUUUGUCAUUGUGCACAAAGAAUAGGAAUGGCUGGUUAUUUGCCACGAAUGCUGGCAUAUGUGAUGGGAAAGCAAUAUUCACUCCCACACUAAUGCUCAAAAUUGCAACAGUAGGGCUGUGGAUAGCUCAGUCAGUUAUGUUCUUGUGGGGGAUGCAUGAAGAACUGAGUUGAAUACUCACAGAAGCUAAAAACUGGCUGUGGUCGCAUGCAUUUCUAAUUCCAGGGCUCGAGGCAGAGGUGGACAUAUCUCUGGGGCCCACUGGAUAGCCUGGAU